UCUCAGUGAUGCAGCAUGGGCUCCCAUGCACUGUUAUGGGAUAGGAGUGACAAAAUUCCUCCUUUAUCCUCCCUUAUUGACCAGGGGUCUAAAGUUCAAGGUGUCCUUGGGCCCUGCUACGUGUUGCUCCCACCACUAUGAAGCUCAGGGCAAGACAGCCCCUGUGGUGCUGGGUACCUGGUUGUCUUCUUCUCAAGCACUAGUGCAGAGCCACAGCCUCUUUGCCACACUCUGGGUGUUGUAGGUCCCCUGUAAGCACCUUUCCAACAAAAAGGGGAUUAUCUAUAGCUUGUUAGAGUCCUUGCAGGGAGGGAGAAUAAGGCUCUUUGCUCUGAAACGUUCUCUUCCCUGGGAUUACAAGAUAAUGCAUAUGAAAUGACAUUAGCUCAGCCAGGUUUAUGGAUUAUUUGAAAAUCAAAUUCUUUUAAUCUCAUCCACCAUCUGGCACCAACGUAACAGCCGGCAGCCAGCUCACUGCUGCUUCUACCCCGACUGCGCUGGAGCAACUGAAGCAUCAGAGACGAUGAGAGGACACCGGCGUCCCUGGCUACCGCUGCGCAUCCUGGCACCAGCACUUUAUGAUUCCCAAGACAGCAAGGAGGUAACAUGUCUGAGAGGGUCUCCCUGGUGUGCACUGGGAAUGGACAGGCAGGCUGGGAGCAUCUCACUGCCUAUGCCUGUGUGACCAUGAGUCGCAAAUCCAUCAGCCAGAGGGGUCCCCAGGUCUUGGAUAAAGGUGAAGAUCCAGGCAGGGGACUUGCCAAUCUCACCAACAUGACUUGCAGUGAUCUCCUGGCUGGACAGGGAGGGACAAAGGCACAGGAGCUCCUUGCAGGAUGCUGAUGCAGAGCAUUUUCCAAGGAGGUUGUGUUUUCCUUUGAACAUUAAGGGUGCUGCCAGGGUGCAUCUGGGCUCUAUGAUGAGUAGUACCAGGGAGCCAGUGACAAGUCAUGUUGUUUGCAGGUGCUGAUGUGAGCAGGUACAGUGUCUCCGAGGGGCAGGGCAGAAGAGCAUGUCAGGGACACAGCAUAUGGAGCCUGUGAGCAGGAUCACCGUCAGCAGCACCACAGAGGGAAGCCUGGCUCACAGGUCAGGGAGCAGAGAGGGACCACUGUAGGAAGCUGGAGCCACCAGCACUAGGGACAUAAGGCUGUAGCUGUUCUGCCUGUCAGCUCUAUCCCAGUGGCUCUUCUUGGCUGGAGUCACAAAUUGCACCAUUUUUGCUGAGCUCUAGGUAUGGAGAGCAGCUGUUCCAGGCAGGGGGAUGCUGAGGAGGGAGGACUGGGUUUGUUCCUUGGAGCAGAUUGGGAUGCUAGAGGUGAGGAUGUGGCACAUCUGCCCGCAGGUAAGGAAUUGCAGAUGGAGCAAGGUGGGGAGCUGAUGCUCCAUGAUUUGAUGUACCUGAAGACAGUCACAUGCAAGAGGAAAAGAAAACAAGAAGAGAGAUGAAUAGCUUUAAAGCAAAGAAAGUGUCAUUUUUGAGGUAAUUAGUUACUAAUUAUACACACACAGAAUUGUCUGUCAUUAACAUUACUUGGGGUUUCAAUACGUUGUGGUUUUAAUUAAGCAAAUCCUUAGAUAUUUUUUCUCCUUCUUUGUAGAAAAAAUUCAUUUUCUUUUAUUGGUGCCAAAGAAUAAAUUGUGGAAUUAGUGACUAUUACUUUGUCGCUUAUGGAAAGGUUAUUUCCAGGUUUUUUGUAUGCAGUGGCUAGAGAAUGGUUAUGAAAGAACCAGUAAUGAUUGUGAAAGAACCAUUUGAAGGCACUGACACAGGGUGCCCAGAGAAGCUGUGGCUGCCCCAUCCCUUGCAGUGUUCAAGGCCAGGCUGGACACAGGGGCUUGGAGCAACCUGCUCUAGUGGAAGGGGUCCCUGCCUGGGGCAGGGGCUGGAGCUGGAUGAGCUUUAAGGCCCCUUCCAACCCAAACCAUUCUGUGAUUCUGUGAAAUGUCUUUUGAUGCCAAGAGUCCCUGGAAGUUGCUGUCUGUGGCUGGGUCUGCUGGUUGAGGUGGGAAUUUGGCAGUGCUGGGACACAACUAGCAAGAAGGAGGCAAAAAAACUCUGCCAGGGCUGUCUGGAGGAGGCUGUCAAACACCAGUGGGUAUCCUCUUGCUGACUUGCAUGCCUGUGAGUAAAUGUGCUUCAUUUUGAUGCAGAAAUGCCCGGCAGAAGGCAACUUUUGACCCUCCAGAAAGGAAGCAGUAGCAAAGCUGUGGCUGCUUCCAUGUGCUCCCCCUGGCACAGGGAAAUGCAAUAAGAAGAGCCCAUGUGUUUCUAACUAAAUGGCAGCCUGUGCUUCGUAAACAACCCGGGUCCAGUUUGGAUGGGAUCCCUGCAUUGAUGUUUCUGGAAAUCAAAUAACAGUCAAGCUAAAGGCAACUUGUUCCUGGAGGUGCCCAGAGCUCUUUCCUGCCAGAGUCAAUGGGAACAAGAGCCCUUGGAGCAUGUGGAUCUGCAGGCAGGCUGUGUGACAGUUCCUGUGCCGACUCCUUUCCCUGCUCUCUGUCAGUUGACUGUCACUGUAUAGGACAGCGUUCCAGGAAUGAUCCCAGCUCCACCUUUGGGCUCCCUUUAGCACUGCUGCUCUCCUGCCUCUUCAUUUCCCUUUGGGGUGAUAUCAGGAAGGAAAUGUGGCUUUCCCUGCCUCUGUGAUCCACAAAUGCAUUCACCAGGCACAUCCCACCUCCACACAGGGAUGCAGAGCAUUCCUUCUAUGGCAGGUAGAAUGGGCUAACUG